CCCUUAGAUGUUCUGGGCCGCACGCGCGCUACACUGACGAUGGCAACGAGUUUUUCCUUCGCCGAAAGGUGUGGGUAAUCUUUUGAAACAUCGUCGUGCUGGGGAUAGAUCAUUGCAAUUUUUGAUCUUGAACGAGGAAUUCCUAGUAAGCGCGAGUCAUCAGCUCGCGUUGAUUACGUCCCUGCCCUUUGUACACACCGCCCGUCGCUACUACCGAUUGAAUGGUUUAGUGAGACCCUCGGACCGAUAGGCUGUCGCCGCGGCAACGUGGCGACCGGCCCGUCGGGAAGAAGGUCAAACUUGACUGUCUAGAGGAAGUAAAAGUCGUAACA
rnacentral:rRNA from 1 species